GGCCCAUGAGAAGUAAAAGCAGGCACUGGCAUUCUGCACAGAUGAAAUACUUCCUAUGACAGAAAUAAAUGCUCACUUGUAGACUUCUCUGUAAUUUGUAGGCAACAUCAGGUCCUGAUUUCUAGGUCUGGAUCUGGGUUCUCUGUAGCACAGGAAGGUCUGUACUUCUCCUACAUAAAUGCCUUGCAUAGCAGGAACUAAAUCAACUACACAGACCCAUACAUCCAGAGAGCAGAGGUGAGCUGGAUACAGCAGCUUAGAGAUGUGGUGGAAGGAGCCCAGAGCUCCAAGGGAAGGGCAACAAGGAGACAACAGCAUGGGCUGCAGCUCAAACAAUAGGUAAAUCAAAGCAAGCAAAGCUGCUGGUCACAGAUUUGACCAGGGUGGCAUGAAAUGACAAGCUACCGUGAGAUUCAACAGUGGCACAGAAGGAUGAUGAGAAGCAAACAGAUUAGGAGGAGCUGCUACCACCAUAGGUAGAGGCACAGAUGACCAAGCAGAACAGCACCAGUCCCUGCAAGGUGUGCUCAGAUACAGCUUGGCACAGCCAUCUGCUCAGGAGGGAAUGAUGCUGCACAUGGUGUGCAUUGCAGCCGGGAAGUUGAGAACCGCUGUGGGCACCUCAGGACUGAGUCUGGUUACCCUGCUGAUCCAAGAAAUGAAGCCAUCUAAAAUUU